rnacentral:rRNA from 1 species
GACGAACGCUGGCGGCGUGCUUAACACAUGCAAGUCGAACGGUGAAGCGAGUGCUUGCACUCGUGGAUCAGUGGCGAACGGGUGAGUAACACGUGAGUAACCUGCCCAUCACUCUGGGAUAAGCACUGGAAACGGUGUCUAAUACUGGAUACGACCAACCCUUGCAUGGGGUGUUGGUGGAAAGAUUUAUCGGUGAUGGAUGGACUCGCGGCCUAUCGGCUUGUUGGCGGGGUAAUGGCCUACCAAGGCGACGACGGGUAGCCGGCCUGAGAGGGUGACCGGCCACACUGGGACUGAGACACGGCCCAGACUCCUACGGGAGGCAGCAGUGGGGAAUAUUGCACAAUGGGCGAAAGCCUGAUGCAGCGACGCCGCGUGAGGGAUGACGGCCUUCGGGUUGUAAACCUCUUUCAGCAGGGAAGAAGCGAAAGUGACGGUACCUGCAGAAGAAGCACCGGCUAACUACGUG